GGGCCUAUAGCUCAUCUGGCAGAGCGCCUGCCUUGCAAGCAGGAGGCGGCAGGUUCAAGUCCUGUUAGGUCCAC
rnacentral:tRNA from 2 species